UACGAAGGGGGCUAGCGUUGCUCGGAAUCGACUGGGCGUAAAGCGCACGUAGGCGGCUUCUUAAGUCAGGGGUGAAAUCCUGGAGCUCAACUCCAGAACUGCCUUUGAUACUGAGAGCUUGAGUCCGGGAGAGGUGAGUGGAACUGCGAGUGUAGAGGUAAAAUUCGUAGAUAUUCGCAAGAACACCAGUGGCGAAGGCGGCUCACUGGCCCGGUACUGACGCUGAGGUGCGAAAAGCGUGGGG
rnacentral:rRNA from 1 species